GAUUACAGCCGUACCACCUGAACACACCCGAUCUCAUCCAAUCUCGAAAGCUAAGCAUGGGUAGGCCUGGUUAGUACUUGGAUGGGAUUAGUCAGACAUCAGCCAAGUAACUGUGAUGC
ensembl:rRNA 5S_rRNA 5S ribosomal RNA